GAGACUGAGAGAGAGACCUGCAAGUAGCAUCGCGAGUUCAGGAGCUGUGGACUGCGUGUAUGAUGGCGAAGCGAGGACUUCUCCGAGCUGGCAUCGCUACACGAUUCCACGGCGAGCCUGACGAUAACCUCUCCAUUCUACCCUGAGAAAGAUACGUAAUGAAAUACAUGUACGUAGCUCGACCCGACCCGACCCGAUUUUGACGACAGUUGGAUUGAGAUAGCAUUGUGCUUGGCCAUCUGAGGGGAGAAUACCGUUGAAAUUUGGAAACGCGAGUGAACAUGAUGGACACUCGUUGCCGCAAAUUGUGUUCAGAGGUGACCAAACUGAAAUGUGCAGGCCGAACAGUGUCGUCCACCAUCUGCGCCGCAGGGAGGUUUUAGUGCGGAGACCGAGCCACGGGAUGCUGGUUGUUUUCCGCCGUGUCCCCUCGUUUGAUGUGGCGAGCAUUCUAGCAUCCCGCUUUUCCUUUCCUGUUUUCACAUUUCAAAUUGUCAGAUUUAGGUGUAGUUUGCCUCCCUGCCUAGACAGUAACCUUCAUGGGACUGGACACUUCAAGAACUGCACGUUGAGUCUGGACAACUUUUUCGCUUCUCUCAUUGAAAACUCAACGCGCUUAAGACACUUGAAUCAAAUCCAUGCCAAGUUGCUGGUCCUAGGACUGCAGGAUGAUAGUUUUUUGAUCACCAAGCUAGUCAAUUGGAGCUCGAACCUUGGAGAAAUUCGAUAUUCCCGGAAGGUGUUCGAUGAAUUCUCUGACCCAGAUGUGUUCUUGUGGAAUGCUAUAAUUAGGGGUUACUCAAGGCACAAUAUGUUCAGUGAUGCUGUUGAAUUGUACUCUAAAAUGCAGGGGACUGGCGUCAAUCCGGAUGGCUUCACUUUCCCCUACAUUUUGAGAGCAUGUACUGGCUUGCCUGCUCUUGGAAUAGGUAGGCGUGUACAUGGGCAGGUUUAUAGGCAUGGGUUUGAAUCGGAUGUGUUUGUGCAGAAUGGUGUUGUGACGCUGUAUGCCAAAUGUGGCAAGGUUGAGCAUGCUAGGAUUGUGUUUGACCAAUUACGUGAUAGGACUGUUGUAUCGUGGACAUCUAUGAUUUCUGGGUAUGCUCAGAAUGGCCAGCCGAUGGAAUCUUUGAGAAUUUUCGGCUGGAUGAGGAAAUUGAACGUACAUCCUGAUUGGAUUGCUCUUGUAAGUAUUCUUAAAGCAUACACUGAUAUAGAGGAUCUUGAACAAGGGAAAUCUGUUCACAGUUGUGUCAUCAAGAUGGGUCUUGAACAUGAACCAGACUUGCUUAUAUCUCUCACAACUUUUUAUGCUAAGUGUGGUCUUGUCACUGUUGCCCGAACAUUUUUUGAUCAGAUGGAGAUGCCGAACUUGAUUUUGUGGAAUGCCAUGAUUUCUGGGUACUCAAAGAAUGGCUAUGCUGAGGAAGCUGUGGAGCUAUUCCGAGGCAUGAUCUCUAAAAACAUAACAACAGAUACUAUAUCUGUGUCAUCUGCUAUUUUGGCGUGUGCCCAAGUGGGCUCUCUUGAGUUGGCAAGAUGGAUGGAUCAGUACAUCUCUAAGAGUGAAUUUAGAGAUGAUAUUUUUGCGAAUACAGCACUCAUUGAUAUGUUUGCAAAAUGCGGAAGCGUACAUUUGGCUCGAAAAACUUUUGAUCGUGCACUAGACAAGGAUGUUGUUAUGUGGAGUGCUAUGAUUGUGGGAUAUGGAUUGCAUGGUAAGGGCCGAGAAGCCAUUGAUCUUUAUCAUGAGAUGAAGAAAGUUGGUGUGUGCCCAAAUGAUGUCACCUUUGUUGGACUUCUCACUGCAUGCAACCAUUCAGGUCUUUUAAAAGAGGGGUGGGAAUUUUUCCACAGCAUGAGUAGUUAUGGGAUUGAACCACGUCAUCAGCACUAUGCUUGUGUGGUUGAUCUUCUUGGACGUGCUGGACAUUUAAACCGAGCCUACAAUUUUAUUCUAAAGAUGCCAAUUGAACCAGGUGUAUCUGUAUGGGGUGCUCUUUUGAGUGCAUGCAAGAUUCAUCGCAAUGUGGCACUGGGUGAAUAUGCUGCACAACAACUUUUCUCACUAGAUCCAUAUAAUAUUGGACAUUUUGUUCAACUCUCGAAUCUCUAUGCUUCAUUACGUUUAUGGGACCAAGUUGCCAAAAUACGAGUACUGAUGAGAGAAAAAGGUCUCAAUAAGGACCUUGGAUACAGUUUGAUUGAGAUCAAUGGAAAGCUUCAGGCCUUCCGUGUAGGAGACAAGUCACAUCCAAGAUCUGUGGAAAUAUUUGAAGAACUUGACAAAUUGGAGAGUAGGUUGAAGGAGGCCGGUUUUGUCCCCAGUACAGAGUCUGUGACGCAUGACUUGAUACAUGAAGAGAAGGAGCAAUUCCUUUGUAAUCAUAGUGAGAGGAUUGCCAUUGCGUAUGGAUUGAUUAGCACUACUCCUGGAACAACACUUCGUAUAAUAAAAAAUCUCCGUGCAUGUGUUAACUGUCAUGCAGCAACCAAAUUUAUAUCUAAGCUUGUCGAUAGAGAGAUUGUCGUGCGAGAUGCGAAUCGUUUCCACCAUUUUAAGGAUGGGCUUUGUUCCUGUGGAGACUACUGAUGAGGAGGAAUGUGCUGGACAAAUUAGAUGCAGAGAGCUGGCAAACUCAUCUUCUUUUUGCCGCAAAUUGUAUUCAGAGGUGACCAGAGUGUAAUUUGCAUGUGUGCUUCUAUCGAAGAGGUUGGAUGGGAACAUUUGGUGCGGCUAGAUGACAAUCUAACAUUUCUCAGCUUCCGCGUCCUGUAAGUUGCACUCGUUGAUAAUAAUUUUUUGACUUUUUUUUCAAAAAAGGAGCUAUUCACCAUUUCUUUUAACCCUUUCAUCUGACCUGAAUUUUUCACCUUUUCCUUGUGCACAAUCUUGUAAUUCCUAUAUCUUUUGUUUUGCCUUUUGAAUGAUUCUCGGUUGGCUUCUAUUCUUUUGAUUAUUUGGUAAUUGUUAAGAUUUGGAUCGCAAGAGAGGAGACAAAAGUACGAAGGGCUACUCUUUUUCACUUGAGUUGAUGUAAGAUUACAUAUACUCUACUUAUGGAGCAUAGAGCAAUAAUCUACUUAACACCCAAGUUUCUAACUACCUUCCUUAUGCUACCUGACACUUAUUGAACUAGUAUUCUUCAAUACUCUUCCUCAAGCUAGGGCAUUUCCAGCCUGAAACUAAUGUGAUGGUACAGUUAAGCUCCUCUCCAGCUGUGAACCCCCUUCACACCUCUUGCGGGUGCACCAUUCACAGUCUGUCCAUGAUUGCCGGUUGUUGUUCAUCAUCCACCAUUGAGUUCAUUUGUCUAUCCGAGUUGCAUGAGCUCAGUGGCUUCUCUCUUCAUUGUCCAUCAAGUUCUAGGCAUCCACUAAAUUACCUAUGCUUUUGUUGUCUUUGGUUAUGAGGCUAGCUUCUUCUGCUCUGUUGUAGUUUUCUUGGUCUUUAUUUCAUUAACAAAGCACUUGCUGUUAGUGAAAAGGGGAAAAAAGAAAAAGAAAAAAAGGAGGAGGUGACAGCCUUUCAUAUGCGGUUCUUUCUUUUGGUGCUUCAUCAGUUGGAUCCGGUUUUGAUGUGGUCACACUUUGUCUUUUACGUAAGGUCCGGCUUAUACUCCUGUCGUCUACUUUAGCCUGGUUUGAUACGGCCACAUCCAUGUGAGGUGUGCCUACACUUGCUGCUGUUGGAGAUAAAAUCUAUUCCAUUAGUGACAUUGAAGAAAGUUGUAGCUAUACUACUGUUUUUAGCAUCCCUGCUGAAACUUUAACUUUUAAUGCUGUUGAAUAUUUAGCUAAGAUUUUGGAUAAGCUUGCCUUAAUGGUUCUUGUCUUUCGUAGUUUCAAAAUAUGUAUGCACACACACAAUUUGAUGGGGAGCUGUGUGUUCGUGCAUAUUCUGGAGACAUUUACUUUUUUUCCUCUUAUACAUUGUUUAUCCUUCUCCUUGUUUUUACUAGUUUUACUGGAUAUAACCUGUUUUUCUACCUCUCUCGAAAUCCUAAAAGUGCUCAACUUUUUGGC